UGCCUGCAGUUGCAGAAAGGUCUAUGAAAAC
rnacentral:piRNA from 1 species